UACGGGGGGGGCAAGCGUUGUUCGGAAUUACUGGGCGUAAAGGGCUCGUAGGCGGCCAACUAAGUCGGAUGUGAAAUCCCCAGGCUCAACCUGGGAACUGCAUCCGAUACUGGAUGGCUUGAAUUCGGGAGAGGGAUGCAGAAUUCCAGGUGUAGCGGUGAAAUGCGUAGAUAUCUGGAGGAAUACCGGUGGCGAAGGCAGCCCCCUGGGCCAAUACUGACGCUCAUGCACGAAAGCGUGGGGAGCAAACAGG
rnacentral:rRNA from 1 species